GUCACGUUGCUAGAUUUUGAUGAGACGAGAUCUCUUUGUUUCACAAAUAGGUCGGUCCCCGACAACAAUGUAACUAUCAUACACGUUAGCAAGCAGUAUUAGCAUAAUUUUCAUAUAGAGAAUGAUAAUUGUUGCCUUUAAAAAAUGAUUACUUAAGCUACAUAUGUGUUAAAAACUUAAAAUUUGAAAGUGGCAUUUGUGGGCUCCACCAGCUUAUAUAAUAAUCAGUGUUGCAUUAUUAGAGGUUCAAUGACUCAAGGGUGGAGUGGUGAUUCUUUUGAUCGGUACAAGGAGUACAGGUGUGGGGCUCGCAUCGCAUCACGGGCUUUAGAUGACAUCUCAUGUACUUACGGGUAG
rnacentral:lncRNA from 1 species